rnacentral:rRNA from 1 species
AAAUGAAUAGACGGGGACCCGCACAAGCGGUGGAGCAUGUGGUUUAAUUCGACGCAACGCGAAGAACCUUACCAGGCCUUGACAUCCCUCUGGCCGGUGUAGAGAUAUACCUUUCCCUUCGGGGACAGAGGAGACAGGUGGUGCAUGGUUGUCGUCAGCUCGUGUCGUGAGAUGUUGGGUUAAGUCCCGCAACGAGCGCAACCCUCGUCGUUAGUUGCUAACAUUUAGUUGAGGACUCUAACGAGACUGCCAGUGACAAACUGGAGGAAGGUGGGGAUGACGUCAAAUCAUCAUGCCCCUUAUGGCCUGGGCUACACACGUGCUACAAUGGCUAGGACAAAGAGCAGCGAAGCGGCGACGUGGAGCAAAUCUCAAAAAUCUAGUCUCAGUUCGGAUUGCAGGCUGCAACUCGCCUGCAUGAAGUCGGAAUCGCUAGUAAUCGCGAAUCAGCAUGUCGCGGUGAAUACGUUCCCGGGUCUUGUACACACCGCCCGU